UACGUAGGGCGCAAGCGUUGUCCGGAAUUACUGGGCGUAAAGAGCUCGUAGGCGGCUUGUCGCGUCGGUUGUGAAAGCCCGGGGCUUAACCCCGGGUCUGCAGUCGAUACGGGCAGGCUAGAGUGUGGUAGGGGAGAUCGGAAUUCCUGGUGUAGCGGUGAAAUGCGCAGAUAUCAGGAGGAACACCGGUGGCGAAGGCGGAUCUCUGGGCCAUUACUGACGCUGAGGAGCGAAAGCGUGGGGAGCGAACAGG
rnacentral:rRNA from 1 species